GCUUGAAGCCCCUAGUGACGGACAGCCUGGAGGAGGGCCCCCUUCCCCCCACCCACCCCGACCAAGAAUCCUGAGUGGUUUCCAUGAAGAAGUUUGCAUGAACAGAGGCAGAGACAGGGGUGUGCUGUAAACAGUCUGGCAAGAGCUGGGGACUUGGAAGCGGGAGAGAGCCAGGUAAGCUUGGCCAGGCCAUUUGAGCUCGGCUCCCAGCACUGAAUGCCAAGCUCAAAGCUUUGGAUGAAGCCAUAAAAUGCUGAAGAAGUGGAAACCACCGUGAUGGGAAUGCCCCUAUUUAAGUGAACCCAGGAUGUAUCCUUAUUUAAAGGGACUGAGCAGAACCAGGCUCCUCCUCCACACCUAGGAGGUCCUGCUGGCUUCCCAUGGCAUCCUGGCUGAUUCUUGGAUGAUGUGUGAAGUAGGAAUUAGUAACCUAUAGGGCUACAGAAGGUUGUAUAAUUGGCCCUCAUUCUUGAGUUUGUCCUGGAUUCAUGCCUUUUGCUAUUACAGGCAUGCUUAUGCCAUUCACAGAGUGUAGUCAAUUUCCUUGCCCUAGGUUUUGUGUCUAGUCAUGUGACUUGCUUUGGCCAAUGGACUGAGAGGGGCCAGUUGGAAUCUAGACCUUAAAAGGUGUUGCAGGUUUCCAUCUGCCUCCUUGUGCCUCUGCACUCAACAUGAGAACAUUCCCCUCAAUGAGUUUGCUGGCUCCAGACAGAAGCUCAGAGACAAGCAGAGCCAGCCUGGAUCAGGCAACCCCUGGCCCACAUGAAGACUCAUGAGGCACUGUGACAUCUACAGAGGAUGCUUGGGACAUAGGAAUCCUUCCAGAUGACGAUGGCAGAGAAGGAUAGAAAGACUAUGGAUUUUGAUGGCAUGGAAGGAGCUGCUGAAUUAACCAACUCCAGAGCUUUUGACCCUUUGCAGGCUGCCCUUCCACCAGAAAUGAUUUCUCUACCUGACCACACCAUGGCUCUCAUCUCUUCUUUCAUCCCAAACAGUUUUGACUGACUCAGCGACUCCACUUCUAGGAAUCUGUCUUUGGAUGAUGCCUGGACAACUGCCCAGGGGUCCACAUGCAAGAAUAUUCAUCACAUUGUCUACAAUGGGACAAUUCAGGACACAACCUAAGUGCCCAGCAAGAAGGGAU
rnacentral:lncRNA from 1 species